CCACACGGUAAACGAUGGAUACUCGCUGUUGGCGAUAUACAGUCAGCGGCUUAGCGAAAGCGUUAAGUAUCCCACCUGGGGAGUACGCCGGCAACGGUGAAACUCAAAGGAAUUGACGGGGGCCCGCACAAGCGGAGGAACAUGUGGUUUAAUUCGAUGAUACGCGAGGAACCUUACCCGGGCUUAAAUUAUGCAUGAAUCACAUUGAAAGAUGUGAGCCGCAAGGCAUGUAUGAAGGUGCUGCAUGGUUGU
rnacentral:rRNA from 1 species